ACGGCCGUCACCGGGCCAUACUCCUUGCGGAUGCCGCGGAUCUGCAGGAAGGGUCUAUUCAU
rnacentral:sRNA from 1 species